GGGCCCGUAGCUCAGCGGUAGAGCACCUGACUUUUAAUCAGGGUGUCGAUGGUUCGACUCCAUCCGGGCUCA
rnacentral:tRNA from 1 species